AACAUAGCCAUUUGAAGAUAUUUAUGGUUUAACCUGCCCAAUGUUAAAUUUAAUCAAUGGCCGCGGUACCCUGACCGUGCUAAGGUAGCGUAAUCAGUUGGCUUUUAAAUGGAGUCAGGUAUGAAUGGGAAAACCGGGUUUAGCUGUCUCCUACUUACUACCUUGAAUUUACUGUUCAAAUGAAAAAGUUUGAUUUUAAUAAAAAGACGAGAAGACCCUUAGAAUUUUUUUUAAAAAGGAUUUUGUUCUUAAUGAUUUUGUUGGGGUGACAGAGAAAUAUUUAGAACUUUCUUUAAUUUUACAAGCCGAAUUUUUUAAGUAAGAAUAAAUUACCUGAGGGAUAACAGCAUUAUUCUACAGAUGAGUUUGUGACCUCGAUGUUGGACUAGGAAACUAGCAGGCUAGCCGUUUGCUGUGUGGGUUCUGUUCGAACUUUAAUUCCU
rnacentral:rRNA from 1 species